AGCUCCAAUAGCGUAUAUUAAAGUUGUUGCAGUUAAAAAGCUCGUAGUUGGAUUUAUGACUCGCGAUGUGUGCCUGGCUUUUGUCAGUGCAAUACCUCGCAGUCUUCCUUGACUUUAGCCUGUGUGGCAUUAGGUUGUCGCGCAGGUGAUGUCAUCUUUUACUGUGAAAAAUUGAUACGCUCCAAGUAAGCUUAUGCUGUUGAACGUAUUAGCAUGGAAUAACAAGAUAGGC
rnacentral:rRNA from 1 species